GAUGAACGCUAGCGACAGGCCUAACACAUGCAAGUCGAGGGGCAGCAUGAGACGGAGAUUCGUCGAAGUCUUGAUGGCGACCGGCGCAAGGGUGCGUAACGCGUGAGCAACUUGCCCGUUUCUGGGGAAUAACCGGUGGAAACGCCGACUAAUACCCCAUAGUAUAACGAAGAGGCAUCUUUUUGUUAUUAAAGAAUUUCGGAAACGGAUAGGCUCGCGUGGCAUUAGCUAGAUGGCGGGGUAACGGCCCACCAUGGCGACGAUGUCUAGGGGUUCUGAGAGGAAGGUCCCCCACACUGGAACUGAGACACGGUCCAGACUCCUACGGGAGGCAGCAGUGAGGAAUAUUGGACAAUGGGCGAGAGCCUGAACCAGCCAAGUAGCGUGAAGGAUGACUGCCCUACGGGUUGUAAACUUCUUUUAUACGGGAACAAACCCCGGUACGUGUACCGGAUUGCGUGUACCGUAUGAAUAAGCAUCGGCUAACUCCGUG
rnacentral:rRNA from 1 species